GGCCGGUCAGCUCAGCUGGUUAGAGCGUGGUGCUAAUAACGCCAAGGUCGUGGGUUCGAUCCCCGUACUGGCCA
rfam:Danio rerio chromosome 4, GRCz11 reference primary assembly.